rnacentral:rRNA from 1 species
GGUUGGGUGCUCGAGUGGCGAACGGGUGAGUAUUACGUGAGUAACCUGCCCUCAACUGUGGGAUAAGCCUGGGAAACUGGGUCUAAUACUGCAUAUUCUUCUUUCACCGCAUGGUGGGGGUUGGAAAGUUUUUUCGGUUGGGGAUGGGCUCGCGGCCUAUCAGCUUGUUGGUGGGGUGAUGGCCUACCAAGGCGGUGACGGGUAGCCGGCCUGAGAGGGUGGUCGGCCACAUUGGGACUGAGAUACGGCCCAGACUCCUACGGGAGGCAGCAGUGGGGGAUAUUGCACAAUGGGCGCAAGCCUGAUGCAGCGACGCCGCGUGAGGGAUGAAGGCUUUCGGGUUGUAAACCUCUUUCGGUACAGAACAAGGCACGUUUUUUGCGUGUGGAGGGUAUGUGCAGAAGAAGCGCCGGCUAACUACGUGCCAGCAGCCGCGGUAAUACGUAGGGCGCGAGCGUUGUCCGGAAUUAUUGGGCGUAAAGGGCUCGUAGGCGGCUUGUUGCGCCUGCUGUGAAAACGCGGGGCUUAACUCCGCGCGUGCAGUGGGUACGGGCAGGCUUGAGUGUGGUAGGGGUGACUGGAAUUCCAGGUGUAGCGGUGGAAUGCGCAGAUAUCUGGAGGAACACCGAUGGCGAAGGCAGGUCACUGGGCCAUUACUGACGCUGAGGAGCGAAAGCGUGGGUAGCGAACAGGAUUAGAUACCCUGGUAGUCCACGCUGUAAACGUUGGGAACUAGGUGUGGGGCCCUUUUCCGGGGUUCUGCGCCGUAGCUAACGCAUUAAGUUCCCCGCCUGGGGAGUACGGCCGCAAGGCUAAAACUCAAAGGAAUUGACGGGGGCCCGCACAAGCGGCGGAGCAUGCGGAUUAAUUCGAUGCAACGCGAAGAACCUUACCAAGGCUUGACAUACACCGGGAGCAUGCAGAGAUGUGUGUGCCUUUUUGGCUGGUGUACAGGUGGUGCAUGGUUGUCGUCAGCUCGUGUCGUGAGAUGUUGGGUUAAGUCCCGCAACGAGCGCAACCCUUGUCUCGUGUUGCCAGCGCGUUAUGGUGGGGACUCACGAGAGACUGCCGGGGUUAACUCGGAGGAAGGUGGGGAUGACGUCAAAUCAUCAUGCCCCUUAUGUCUUGGGCUUCACGCAUGCUACAAUGGCCGGUACAGUGGGUUGCGAUACUGUGAGGUGGAGCGAAUCUCUGAAAGCCGGUCUCAGUUCGGAUC